rnacentral:rRNA from 1 species
UGCAAGUCGAACGAGAAAGCCGCAAGGCAAGUAAAGUGGCGUACGGGUGAGUAACACGUGGAUAAUCUGCCUUUUAGUGGGGAAUACCGUUGGGAAACCGACGACAAUACCGCAUAAUCCCGAGAGGGGAAAGCAGCAAUGCGCUGAAAGAGGAGUCCGCGGUCGAUUAGUUAGUUGGCGGGGUAAAAGCCCACCAAGACUGUGAUCGAUAGCCGGCCUGAGAGGGCACACGGCCACACUGGCACUGAAACACGGGCCAGACUCCUACGGGAGGCAGCAGUGGGGAAUCUUGCACAAUGGGGGAAACCCUGAUGCAGCGACGCCGCGUGAGCGAUGAAGCCCUUCGGGGUGUAAAGCUCUUUCGUCGGGGAAGACAAUGACGGUACCCGGAGAAGCAGCUGCGGCUAACUACGUGCCAGCAGCCGCGGUAAUACGUAGGCAGCAAGCGUUGUUCGGAGUUACUGGGCGUAAAGGGUGCGUAGGCGGCUAUUUAAGUUUGGUGUGAAAUCUCCCGGCUCAACCGGGAGGGUGCGCCGAAUACUGAGUGGCUAGAGUGCGGGAGAGGAAAGUGGAAUUCCUGGUGUAGCGGUGAAAUGCGUAGAUAUCAGGAGGAACACCGGUGGUGUAAACGGCUUUCUGGACCGUAACUGACGCUGAGGCACGAAAGCGUGGGUAGCAAACAGGAUUAGAUACCCUGGUAGUCCACGCCCUAAACGAUGCAUAUUUGGUGUGGGCCAUUCAUUUGGUCUGUGCCGGAGCUAACGCGUUAAAUAUGCCGCCUGGGGAGUACAGUCGCAAGGCUGAAACUCAAAGGAAUUGACGGGGACCCGCACAAGCGGUGGAGCAUGUGGUUUAAUUCGACGCAACGCGAAGAACCUUACCUGGGCUCGAAAUGCUAAGGACCAGCUUAUGAAAGUAGGCCUUCCCGCAAGGGA